rnacentral:lncRNA from 1 species
UUAACCCAAACGCAAAAUUCGCAAUUAAUAGUACCCGCAUUUAAAAGUAACCUUAAGGUACUGAUAUAUUGCCCAUCCUUAUUGGUACUGCAUUUCUCUAUUCUCAUUGUUGUGUUCCUUGACCCCUAUUCUUGUAUAUCUUAAUUUGUCUCGUAUUGACAUUUCUUCCUCUCUUUUGCCUUCUCUCCUCCUAGUAUAUGUACAUGUACAUCUAACUUUUGCUCUUUCUCUUUUCUUCCUAUAUAGGAUUCUCCUAUCUCUUACGUUCUUUGUCUUCUUGUGUAUAAUACAGUUCCUUACUGAUACUAUAAGCUUGUGUUAACACAUUACAUUUUUGAAUCACAGACGCAUUGCGUGUCAAGAAUCAAGAUUCCAUUUCCGGCAAAAGAUGUGGGAGCAGAACUAUCCUAACAACAUGAUGGAGAAUGGAAUUAAGACAAAAUGCUAAGAAUAUUCAGAGCAUGUCCAAUUUGAACAAUGCCGUUAACUACUCAUAAUCAAUAAACAGUUUGUUCCAUGGACAUUAACUUAUUACUUAGAGAAAAGGAUGUGUUGAGAUUAAUAUGCACUAAUGCAAUGUGUCACCAUUUUCUUGAUGCAUCAAGCUUAGGAGAUACUGAGGUCAUCAAUGAGUCUUGCAUUCAAGCUUGCUGUCGUUCAAAAUUAGGACACUGUACAUAAACUUGCAUUUUUGUGUUCUUUUUAUAAUGUUGUAAUUGUUUUUGUUACCUAAAAUAAUUAUUCUUUAAUACUAUAAUGCGAUAGCAGUCCAUGAACUGAUGCCACAA